CAACAUCUCAUGUCUAUAGAGAGGUCCAGCCCCCCAAUGCAACUUGACCACUGUAUCCAGCCGAGACAAAUCAACAUCAGAAAUGCCUUAGCAGCUCUACUACAGUGGAAGACCUAUUGACUUAAUAUUGGUUAAUCAGGUCUUAGUAUUUGCAACUUGAGCUCUUCAUAAGAGGUAAUCGAACAAUUGGCCGGGUAAGCAGGUGGGAGGCUCCCCUUACCCAAGAGUAAGGUCCUAAUUAAGUAACCACCUUUCAUGCUUUCCUGGACACCAAUUAGAUCAAUUAAUCUAAUAUGACUUGCUCAUGUCGGUUCACUCUCGACUUGAUUGAGGAGGUUUUAAUUUAGGUCUCAAUUGGGUUUGCUACAUCACAUGUAAACCUAUCUACCCGACUCUCAUUCACAUCACAUGCAAACGGCACAUUGCAGGCAGUUAUAAUCGCAGCAAAAAUUAAAGCUAAACUUUAAAUGGGUGAUGAUCAUGGAUUCUAAUUAGGUCAUAUUACAAGCACAUGCACGUCACUCGAUCAAUUGGUCUUCAACUCUUGAAUUGGUUCCAAGCCUCCUUGAUUCGAUCCUUGACCAACUCUUGAUCCAAU
rnacentral:lncRNA from 1 species